GACGAACGCUGGCGGCGUGCUUAACACAUGCAAGUCGAACGGAAAGGCCCUGCUUUUGUGGGGUGCUCGAGUGGCGAACGGGUGAGUAACACGUGAGUAACCUGCCCUUGACUUUGGGAUAACUUCAGGAAACUGGGGCUAAUACCGGAUAGGAGCUCCUGCUGCAUGGUGGGGGUUGGAAAGUUUCGGCGGUUGGGGAUGGACUCGCGGCUUAUCAGCUUGUUGGUAGGGUAGUGGCUUACCAAGGCUUUGACGGGUAGCCGGCCCGAGAGGGUGACCGGCCACAUUGGGACUGAGAUACGGCCCAGACUCCUACGGGAGGCAGCAGUGGGGAAUAUUGCACAAUGGGCGGAAGCCUGAUGCAGCAACGCCGCGUGCGGGAUGACGGCCUUCGGGUUGUAAACCGCUUUCGCCUGUGACGAAGCGUGAGUGACGGUAAUGGGUAAAGAAGCACCGGCUAACUACGUG
rnacentral:rRNA from 1 species